rnacentral:misc_RNA from 1 species
UGCCCUUUGGGCUAACAAAUGCCCUAGCAACUUUUCAGGCCUUGAUGAAUCAUAUAUUUCAUAAGCACUUGAGGAAGUUUGUGCUUGUUUUUUUUUAUGAUAUUCUGGUAUACAACUCUUCUAUAGAAAAGCAUAUGCAGCACCUGGAGAUAGUAUUUCGGAUCUUGAAAGAACAGAAAUUAUAUGCUAAACUCAGUAAAUGCUCUUUUGGAAAAACUGAUAUUGAUUAUUUAGGCCACCUAAUUUUUGAGGAGGGAGUUAAAAUUGAUCCCUUCAAGAUUCAAGCAAUGAUAACAU